UACGUAGGGGGCAAGCGUUGUCCGGAUUUAUUGGGCGUAAAGAGCGUGUAGGCGGCCUGAAAGGUCAGCUGUGAAAACUCGAGGCUCAACCUCGAGACGUCGGUUGAAACCAUCUGGCUAGAGUCCGGAAGAGGAGUGUGGAAUUCCCGGUGUAGCGGUGAAAUGCGCAGAUAUCGGGAAGAACACCCGUGGCGAAGGCGGCACUCUGGGACGGUACCGACGCUGAGACGCGAAAGCGUGGGGAGCGAACAGG
rnacentral:rRNA from 1 species